rnacentral:rRNA from 1 species
GACGAACGCUGGCGGCGUGCUUAACACAUGCAAGUCGAACGGAAAGGCCCGGCUUUUGUGGGGUGCUCGAGUGGCGAACGGGGGAGUAACACGUGAGUAACCUGCCCUUGACUUUGGGAUAACUUCAGGAAACUGGGGCUAAUACCGGAGAGGAGCUCCUGCUGCAUGGUGGGGGUUGGAAAGUUUCGGCGGUUGGGGAUGGACUCGCGGCUUAUCAGCUUGUUGGUGGGGUAGUGGCUUACCAAGGCUUUGACGGGUAGCCGGCCUGGGAGGGUGACCGGCCACAUUGGGACUGAGAUACGGACCAGACUCCUACGGGAGGCAGCAGUGGGGAAUAUUGCACAAUGGGCGGAAGCCUGAUGCAGCAACGCCGCGUGCGGGAUGCCGGCCUUCGGGUUGUAAACCGCUUUCGCCUGUGACGAAGCGUGAGUGACGGUAAUGGGUAAAGAAGCACCGGCUAACUACGUG